GCCAGCAUGGUGUGGUGGCUUAAGCACUGGACUAUGACUCUAGAGACCAGGGUUUGAAUCCCUGUUUGGCC